GAAUUUUCCUCUUUUGCUAGUGCACUUCGCGAGGUACAAUCAACAACCUGGUGAAAGCUGUCGCCAAAGGACGUCCAGCGGAAAGGCAGCUCGCUGGAGCACGACACUGUGUCCUCAUCCACCUCCUUCACCAGAGCUGCCUCUGCUUCUCCCCCACAGUCAAAGUGACCGUGAAAGGCUCUGUAGCCAGGUACAGGACAGAGAUGUGGCCUUCAGUCUUUGAUCUCAUGGAAGGAACCAUAGCAGUGUCUCGGAGCCACUGAGUUCUCAAGGGAGGACUUCUGGGCGUCAGCUUUGACCUGACGUCAUCUAGAGGUGAUCACACUGUCCCUUGCACUGGGGCAGGACCUCCAAGAGACUUCUCAGUCUGCCAGAAGGUGGCCUCAUGAGCAAGGCUGGUGACCCACCGUCCAGCAGAACAAGAGACGGAAGGAACCAGCGAGCAAGUGUUGCUGCGACUUGUGCUUCGCAUCUAGUUACAUAAUGGCUUGUUGAGAGGUACUCCAGCGUGCUAUGUGAGGACACAGCCAAUCAAUACAGCCGGGGUCAGGACGCGCCCUGCUCAUUUCUGAAAGAGCCAGCAACUAAUGUGCUCUAACCCAAGAGGAAGCAGCCAUCUCUAGCUGAUUGCCAAUUUGGGGGUUAAUUUGGCAAUUUUAUAUGUGAUCACUGCUUUUGGAAAAAGUCCAGCUAUCUGCAAUUAUUCCAAAAAGGAAAUGAGAUGAGUUACGUGCUGCUCCUAAAGAUGAAAGUGGCAGAGUCACCCGUCUCUCCACAGUCACCAAGUAAAUCACAUUGUUCUGUGACCAGACCUCUGCGAUGGACUCCUGGCCUCUACCAGUUAUCUGAUUCUCCUGGCGGACUGAGAGCAGCGAGCUUCCAGUCCUUUUGGAGUGAAGCAGGGUGUACAACUAAUUCUGUCAAUGACUUUAAGUGGAAGGGGAGUGGGCUGCUUCUAGGCAGCAGCAUUUAAAAUCCAGGUCAUGCAAAGGAAGAGGGGCAGGCCGAGCUUUAAGUUCCGCCCCUUGCUGGUCUUCCUUUGAGUGAUACAGCCCGGCCACCUUGUCCCCAUAGGAAGUGAGUGGAGAAUGAGCACUCCACACCUACUGAGCAUCUGUCUCUAGCCCUCCCUGAGGAAUUCCACCUGGUCCAAUCCAGCGAGAGAGCAGUGGACAGGAGUACAAAAUCUGGGAAAGGCAGGCUGGGACCAAGCCCCCUGGAGGGGUCAAAGCAGUGUCCAGCACAGAGAGCUGAGUGCCUGAGCAGCUGUUUCUGGUGCCUGUAAUGCAGUGGAGGAGAUGAGGCUCAGAGCAACCUAAGAGGCCGAGCCAUCUGGAAACUUCCUGGGUCCACAAAUAACUUCACAUUGGUAAGAGGGGUGCAGGAACCUGGUGAGAUUGUGCUGUUCACUUUACUACAAGACAGCUUGU